AACGAACGCUGGCGGCGUGGAUAAGACAUGCAAGUCGAACGAGAGAAUUGCUAGCUUGCUAAUAAUUCUCUAGUGGCGCACGGGUGAGUAACACGUGAGUAACCUGCCCCCGAGAGCGGGAUAGCCCUGGGAAACUGGGAUUAAUACCGCAUAGUAUCGAAAGAUUAAAGCAGCAAUGCGCUUGGGGAUGGGCUCGCGGCCUAUUAGUUAGUUGGUGAGGUAACGGCUCACCAAGGCGAUGACGGGUAGCCGGUCUGAGAGGAUGUCCGGCCACACUGGAACUGAGACACGGUCCAGACACCUACGGGUGGCAGCAGUCGAGAAUCAUUCACAAUGGGGGAAACCCUGAUGGUGCGACGCCGCGUGGGGGAAUGAAGGUCUUCGGAUUGUAAACCCCUGUCAUGUGGG
rnacentral:rRNA from 1 species